rnacentral:rRNA from 1 species
CCUACGGGUGGCUGCAGUGGGGAAUCUUGCGCAAUGGCCGAAAGGCUGACGCAGCGACGCCGCGUGGAGGAUGACGCCCUUCGGGGUGUAAACUCCUGUUGCCCGGGACGAACGACCUGUUUCGACAGGUGUGACGGUACCGGGUGAGGAAGCACCGGCUAACUCUGUGCCAGCAGCCGCGGUAAUACAGAGGGUGCGAGCGUUGUCCGGAAUCAUUGGGCGCGCGGGGGCGGUUGGCGACGGGGGAGGUGAAAGUCCGGGGCUCAACCCCGGAUCGGCCAUGCGAACUGUCCAGCUGGAGCACGGUAGAGGCACAUGGAAUUCCGGGUGUAGCGGUGGAAUGCGUAGAGAUCCGGAAGAACACCGGUGGCGAAGGCGGUGUGCUGGGCCGUAGCUGACGCUGAGGCGCGACAGCGUGGGGAGCAAACAGGAUUAGAUACCCUGGUAGUC